CCUACGGGAGGCAGCAGUGGGGAAUAUUGCGCAAUGGGCGAAAGCCUGACGCAGCGACGCCGCGUGAGGGAUGAAGGUCUUCGGAUCGUAAACCUCUGUCAGCAGGGAAGAACGGUCACUGUGCUAAUCAGCAGUGAAUUGACGGUACCUGCAAAGGAAGCACCGGCUAACUCCGUGCCAGCAGCCGCGGUAAUACGGAGGGUGCGAGCGUUAAUCGGAAUUACUGGGCGUAAAGCGCUCGUAGGCGGUCUGUCAAGUCAAGGGUGAAAUCCCCGCGCUCAACGUGGGAACUGCCGUUGAAACUGGCAGACUGGAGUGUGUGAGAGGAUAGUGGAAUGCCAGGUGUAGGAGUGAAAUCCGUAGAUAUCUGGAGGAACAUCAGUGGCGAAGGCGACUAUCUGGCACAUAACUGACGCUGAGGAGCGAAAGCGUGGGUAGCAAACAGGAUUAGAUACCCGUGUAGUC
rnacentral:rRNA from 1 species